rnacentral:rRNA from 1 species
GAUGAACGCUGGCGGCAUGCGUAACACAUGCAAGUCGAACGGAAAGGCCCUACUUUUGUGGUGUUCUGGGUUGUCGAACGGGUGAGUAACAGGAGUGCAACCUGCCCUUGAUUUUGGGAUAACUUCAGGAAACUGGGGCUAAUACCGGAUCGGAUCUCCUCCAGCAUGGUGGGGGUUGGAAAGUUUAGGCUGUUGUGGAUGGACUCGCGGCUUAUCAGCUUGUUGGUGGGGUAGUGGCUUACCAAGGCUUUGACUGGUAGCCCGCCUGAGAGGGUGACCGGGCUCAAUACGCCUGCGAACAGGCCCAGACUACAACACGAGGCACCGGUCGAGAGUAUGGUCCAGUCGCAGCCAGCACGUUGAGGAAACGUCGCGGCUGGGAUGACGGACUUCGGGUAGUAAAACGCUUUAGACUGAGACGAAGCUAGAGUGACGGUACUGAGAAAAGAAGCACCGGCUAACUUCGUG